rnacentral:rRNA from 1 species
CUACGGGCUGCUCCAGUGAGGAAUAUUGGUCAAUGGGCGCAAGCCUGAACCAGCCAUGCCGCGUGAAGGAUGACGGCCCUAUGGGUUGUAAACUUCUUUUAUACGGGAAGAAACGCCUCUACGUGUAGAGGUUUGACGGUACCGUACGAAUAAGCAUCGGCUAACUCCGUGCCAGCAGCCGCGGUAAUACGGAGGAUGCAAGCGUUAUCCGGAUUUAUUGGGUUUAAAGGGUACGUAGGCGGAAGAUUGAGUCAGUAGUGAAAUCCUGCAGCUUAACUGUAGAACUGUUAUUGAUACUGGUUUUCUUGAAUGUAGUUGAGGUAGGCGGAAUAAGUAAUGUAGCGGUGAAAUGCUUAGAUAUUACUUAGAACACCGAUUGCGAAGGCAGCUUACUAAGCUAUGAUUGACGCUGAGGUACGAAAGCGUGGGGAGCGAACAGGAUUAGAUACCCGAGUAGUC